UUAAAUCUUGCCGGAAAUCACAAAUCAUGGGAUUUCCGGUGAGGCAAGCCUUGCCAGCCAAGGCGUAUUAAUGCGUAUUAAACCCUAGCUACCUUAGUAGCCGCCCUUUCCUUUUUGAGUGACUGUCAUACCUGUGAGGGAGGAGCCGAAGGGUUUAGGUGAGAUCGAAAACGUCGCGAGACUUCAGAUCGGGUUCAAUAACGCCGCGAGCUUUAGGUAGGAGCAGGCGCUAGUGUAUGGCGGGCAAGGGAGGACAGACGCGUCACCGGAGAUGGACGAACGACGACACUUCCACAGGUGACAGCAGCCAAGCCCGUGAUAGGGCUAUUGAGGCAUUCGGGUGGGGAAGACGAAGUGGUGGGCGCGGGUCGACCCUCGGCAUUCCGCGGGUCGUCUCGGCUGGCGUGCAGCCCACACCUCGCAGGCCGCGCUCAGACACCACCAUGGGGCUUCAUUCCUUUUCGGCCCAAACCAGAGGUGCGCCCAGAAACCCUGCGCCGUUAGGGUUCUUCGCAGGCCGUCGGUUCGGCUCCACCAGCGGCUCGACUAGGUCGGCUCGGCUGUGCGGCUCGACAGCUUGGCAGCGCAGCUCGGCGGCUCGACAUCCGAAUAGCAUCCCGAUUUUUAGGUUUUUAACCCUUCUGGAGCCAUUCCCACCCUUGUUUCAGCCAUCUGAGGAGGUAGUUAGGCGCUGGAGUCAGCAUUGUGGGUGACUUCGGCCAAGGCCAAGGAGGUAAGUAACCUUACUGUUGGCGUUAGUUAUGUAUGUAUGUUGGUGCGUGCCCUGUGGCCCUUGCAUGCACCAUAUGUUGUUGCUGUAUGCUAGGUUAGAUGUUUCUUGCCGUGAAAUGCUAUAUGCAUGCUUUGUUUAUGUAUGUGAUUCUUGCAGUGAAUUGCUAUGUAUGCCAUGUUUAUGAAUAUGAUGUUGUGACGCGUUUUGUUGCCCUGUAUGUAUGAUGAGCUUGAUUGACAUGUCAUGAUUGUAAUGAGAACCCCACAUGCCAUGAAUAAGAUGACUAGUAUGCUAGGAUAUGCUUGCUCAAUGUGGACCCGGUUAUGCUAUGUUAUGCUUGCCUACUGUGAACCCGGUUAUGCUAUGUAAUGCGGCGAGGGGAUGGAGCGUCGUAGGUGUAAUGCCAUGGAGGUAAACCUUAAGAACCUCAUGCACGCUAUGGUUAUGUACUUGGGGCACUCCCCCGUUAUGCUACUGAUGGUAUGGAUACGUAUAUUCGAUAUUGUGUUCGCCACGAUAUCAUGCAGGCCCUCCUUUGUCCGUGGCGUCCAGUAUUGUAUGUCAUACAUACCCGACCAAGCCAGGCCUAGGGAGUUCGCUUGCGAGCUUGCCUAGUGGGCCCACAGUCACACACGUGGGCCAUGUGUUGGAAAUUACCAUGCAUCCACCCCCGCGCGGACAAGGCAAGGGCCUAAGGCCAUGGGAAGGAAUGGAAGACAAACCUCUCUCUCAGUUUCGUUCUUCUAACAUUGUGCGGCAUGAAAGGGCAAGGCUCCCAUGUACGGGUGACGGUGGAUGAGGCGAAGGGCCAUGGAAAUCUUGAGGAGGGUUUGUUGUGUCGUAGCGCCUGUUGGAAUCUCUUGGGUUCUUAGUUUUGCGAAUUGUUUUCUCUAGUCUCUGUUGAUUACUUCUAGGCUAGGUUGUCGCAAUUGUUUUCCUAGGUAUGAACGGCUUAAAUUGAUGAAUGCAUUUUCGUUAUUGAGACUGUUCCAUGUGAACUCUUGUCCUGUUGAUUUGACGAGUAUAAGGUAACGUCGCUAAUUAGGGUAGAGAAAAUUAGGGGCAU